UACGUAGGGAGCGAGCGUUGUCCGGAAUUACUGGGCGUAAAGGGCGCGUAGGCGGAUAUUUAAGUCAGAUGUGAAAUCUCUGGGCUCAACCUGGAACGUGCAUUUGAAACUGGAUAUCUUGAGGGCAGGAGAGGAAAGUGGAAUUCCUAGUGUAGCGGUGAAAUGCGUAGAUAUUAGGAGGAACACCAGUGGCGAAGGCGACUUUCUGGACUGUACCUGACGCUGAGGCGCGAAAGCAUGGGGAGCGA
rnacentral:rRNA from 1 species